rnacentral:misc_RNA from 1 species
UCUCCGUUGGUGAACCAGCGGAGGGAUCAUUACCGAGUUUACAAUUCCCAAUGCCUAUGUGAACCUUACCUUUUUUUGUUUCUGCGGGAUCGCCAUCGCGCAUCACGGCGCCGUAUGACAGCGUCCUUCGGAAGCCCAUAACUCUUGUUUAUUUAUCUUUCCACUCCGAGUGGCACAAGCAUCAUAAAACAAAAUUUUCAACAACGGAACUCUUGGUUCUUGCAUCCAUGCAUAACGGAGGAAAGCGGCAGAGCGGAAGACUGAACGUCAGUCCUC